CUGUUUGGAAAGAUCUUAGCAGAACCGUUUCCCACAAGUUAUCAGAAUGAUUGUGUCGACAAUUUUUCUCAGUUUGUUGCUGACUUUCUUAUCAUGUGUCCAGUCGGAGGUUGUUUUGACCCAGCCAGAGGCAGAGACUGGCCGUCCCGCAGGCAGCCUGAAACUGACCUGUAAAACCAGCGGGUUCGAUCUUAGCAGCUACACCAUGCACUGGGUCCGACAGGUUCCCGGACAGGGUCUGGAGUGGCUGCUGUACUACUAUAGUUCAUCCAGCAGUAACUAUGCACCAGCGAUUAAGGGUCGAUUUACUGCGUCCAAAGACACUUCAAACAAAAUUUUCGCGUUGGACAUGGAGAAUCUGAAGAUCGAAGACAACGCCAUCUAUUACUGUGCAAGAGAACACAGCGAGAGGAACCAGGGCUGGACCCGUUCAAAAACAGCUCGAGGGAACAUUUUGUCAAUUCCAUCAUAAACUGACGAGACACCAUCUCCCCCCACGCUUUAUGGCCUGGUCUCCUCCUGUCAGGAGCACAACACCGGUUCUGUGAUCUUUGGUUGUUUGGCGAUGGACUAUUCCCCUGACGUCACCAAGGUAACCUGGAAGAAAGGUGGGGA